CCUGCGUGUGCAGGUCGGGAUGUGACCCCGUUCCGUGAGGGUUGAACCACACA
rnacentral:ncRNA from 1 species